CCUUUCCUCCUGUCCAGUUCCUUCUAAUUACCUAACGUGCCGUCAUUCACUUCUAUUCACUGUUCUAUGCAUCGUAACCCAGAAGGAACCCUUUACAUCUGUGACCCGCUCUCGCACGCAUGUAAAUAGUCAUAGCCAAUGCAACUUCAACUACUCUCUGUUUGGUACCUUGAGCCAGGAUUCCUACUCCCAUUCAGGUUCAGAUGAACCCUACCCCACUGCCUUGGACACGCACACCAGUGCAGCUGCUCUGCCAUUUCCUUCACUGGAGUUCUAUUUGGCAACACCUUCAAAUUCCUCAAAGUUGUUACUCAAAGCACCUACACCCACAGAGGUAUGUAUAUAAGGAGUCUGAGCAGGAUAGAGAAGAAAAAAGAACGGAUUGAGAAAAGAAAUGAAAGAACAAAGAAUGAAAAAGAGAACUGGUACAGAAAUCUAGAGCAACGGUUUGGAAACGAGCAAGCAGUACUGAAUAGCAGGCCAUAAAGCACCAUGGUGAGAGACAGGAAUCGCUCCCCAAGGAGAGGUCACUCCGGCUAAGUACUGUAGGAGCAGGAGAGGCCAACUGGCUUUGAGGAUCGUCCCAAAGAAUGUUGGUGGGACAAUGGAGCCAGGCUUUGGGUGUCCCAAUGGUGACUGACUAAGGUGUUUGAGAUGAAAGCCAUCUAAUGGUCGACUAGGCUUGCCAGUGUCUUGGACCUGCCGAGAAGAUCUGAUGAGUGAGUGGGGAGAGAUGAGAGAAAGAGAG